rnacentral:rRNA from 1 species
UACAGAGGGUGCGAGCGUUAAUCGGAAUUACUGGGCGUAAAGCGCACGUAGGUGGCGACGUAAGUCGGGUGUGAAAGCCCCGGGCUCAACCUGGGAAUUGCAUUCGAGACUGCAUUGCUGGAGUACGGAAGAGGAAGGCGGAAUUCCCGGUGUAGCGGUGAAAUGCGUAGAUGUCGGGAGGAACAUCAGUGGCGAAGGCGGCCUUCUGGUCCAGUACUGACACUCAAGUGCGAAAGCGUGGGGAGCAAACAGG